AUGGCAGGGAGGCCUAACCUAUUUUCCCCUGCCCCAACUCAUAACUGCUCCAGAUUUGGGAAAGGGGUUAGCUCCAUUACUCAAACCUUGAAAUUUGGAUAUAGGUGGAAUAUUGGUGUAGGUAAUAAAGUUAGGUUUUGGGAGGAUACAUGGUUUGGCACUUCUCCCUUGGCAGUUCAAUUUUGGCCUGUCUACUCUAUCUGCAAUGAGCAAACUAAAUGUGUGAAUGAGGUCUGGGAUGGUCAUCAGCUGAAGCUCUCCUUUAGAAGGAACUUUGAUGACAAGUUGAUGGAACAAUGGUACCAACUAGUAGAAAUAGUUGGGAGCAUUGCUUUGUCCUCUAAUCCUAAUGCCCUGAUUUGGCAAUUGGAUAACAAGGGCCAUUACUCAUCUAGUUCUCUUUAUCAUGUGAUCAACUUUAGGGGGGUCCAACCCAUGUUUAUCCAUGUUGUGUGGAAACUUAGUGUUCCCCCUAAAAUACAUGUUUUUCUCUUGCUGCUUUCUAAUAAUAAGCAAAUGACCAGAGACAACUUAAGGAAGAUAUGUAUAAUUAAGCCUCUUGAUUGUGUUUAUUACUCUGAACAUUAA
rnacentral:rRNA from 1 species